UACGGGGGGAGCAAGCGUUGUUCGGAUUUACUGGGCGUAAAGGGCGCGUAGGCGGCCACUGCAAGUCAGUUGUGAAAUCUCCGGGCUUAACCCGGAAAGGUCAACUGAUACUGCAGGGCUAGAGUGCAGAAGGGGCAACUGGAAUUCUCGGUGUAGUGGUGAAAUGCGUAGAUAUCGAGAGGAACACCUGCGGCGAAGGCGGGUUGCUGGGCUGACACUGACGCUGAUGUGCGAAAGCCAGGGGAGCGAACGGG
rnacentral:rRNA from 1 species